ACUAGCAUAACAACUAUACCUCAUUCUCAUACCCUUUGCAAAUUAGUUAUUUGCACAAAAUAUCAUUCAUAAUAUUCACAUAAGCCAAACAUUAACCAAAAUAGCACAAGAGCCUAUACAUGUCAUAUAAUUUGAAUUUAACAUUUCAAAAACUACCGAGAUAAAUUGGAUAGUGUGACUUGAGUGCCGAUCCUUUCGUCCAACCUUCCAAAAAUAUACAAUGACAUUAAACAACACAAGUAAGCUUAAUGAAACUUAGUAAGUUCGACGAGAUAAACAAAAAUCUUACCGAACUAAUUACAAUAAAUCAAAUAAUAAUAAUAAAAAUCAUCCAUGACAACUCCCUGUCAUUCACAACUUCAAUCGACAAAUACAUCCGUAUUUAAAUCAAUACAAAAAUAAAUAACAUGUCUUUCAAAUUUAUGAAAUAAAUCACCUUACCGAGAUUUUUCCAUUCGAAGAGCGACUUUCGGAUAAGAGUACAUCGUCAACAGAAGCUCAUAAGAGCUGGUCCUCCCAAAUACGCCAACAGAAGCUCGAAAGCUGAACAGAAGCUAGUAAGAGCUGAUCCACCCAAUCAUGCCAAAAAUAAAAUAAAACACGAUAGUUCACAACAAAUGAUGAACCCCGUUUACUUGGGUAAAAUUCUAAUAUCUCCCUCCAAUACCAUCUCCACUCCAAACCCCCGUCAUACACCAAAUCACGUAUGUACUCAAAUCUCGCGUUCAAUUCAAACCGGAUAUCCAAUUCAAUAUUAUAAUUCAAACAAUAAUUCAUUUCCAGCAAUAGAAUAUAUGCAUAAUACCAAUCAUCAAUUUGUACAAAUGUUAAAUUUUAACCGUACGAACUUACCUGGACUGAAUUGUAGUAAUUGUAGAAGUUUAGGAACUAUUCCGCUAUUUUUUUUCCACGAAUAUCUACGAGAUCUUGAUCUAAAAUAUAAAAUUACUCAUUUAUUAGCAUAUAUUUCAUUUCUAAUCCAUUUUACAAUUAAUACCCUUUUAUUUUUCUACUUUAUGCAAUUACCCUAAACUUUUACAAUUUUUGCAAUUUAAUCCCUUAAUUAGUUAAUCUAUCACAUUAACUAAUUUUCUCAAAUAAACAACCUAUCCAAAUAUUCUAGGCCCUCAUACAACCCUUAAUAAACCUAAAAUUCACUAUCAAACCCUAAUAUUUUGACAUUUUCACAAUUUAAUCCUAAAAUCAAUAUUUAACAAAAAUCACUUUACAAAAUCAUCACACAACACAAUCAAAGCUCCAAAUCCAUGUUAUUCAUAAAAAACAUCUAAUAUUUUUCAAUGGAAACUUCCAAAAUUUUUAACAGAAUUAGAAACGAAGGUACGGGUUAGCUGGACCUAGUUGCAACUAUCUCAAAAACAUAAAAAUUACAAGAAACGGGUAAGAAUUGAACUCACAUGGAAGCUCGUAUGCUCAACCAAUUCUCCAAUCUAUUUCUAUGGUGUUCCGUCAGUGGCAAAAGAAUAAAAUGAAGAAGAAAUCCUAUUUCUUCUUACUUAAUUUUGUUUUAAUUUCAACUAAAUUACAAGUUUGCCAUUAUAAUUUAAUUAUUUUGUCCUUAUCCAUCAAUUUACUGUCCCACUAUACUAUUUAGGGCUUAAUUAUCACUUAAUUCCUUCCUCAAUUAAUAAUUACAUCAUUUCAUCACCUAAUUGCUAUAAUUAGCAAGUUUUACACAUUUUUCAAUUUAGUUCUUUUUAAUUAAUUAACUAUCGAAACGUUAAAAUUUUUCAAUGAAACUUUAAUACCACCUUAAUGAAACUCCGUAAAUAUUUAUAAAAAUAUUUACGGCUCGGUUUAUAGAAACGAGGUCUUGAUACCUCACUUUCUAAAACCACUUGACCUUAGGGUCUUACCACUUGAACCUAAUAAAUUGUUAUAGAACAUAAAUUACCAAAUCAAAAACCUUUUUAAAACUAUAUUUGACUAGUAAAUAUUAAAUAAUAAUAUUUACGAACUUACUUGUAGAAUUUGGUGGCCUCGAAACCACUAUUUCCGACAUCACUAAAAAAUCGGGCUAUUACAGGCACAUGGUUGUGUGUCCAGCCUACGUGGGAAGGCCCAGGCCAUAUGGCUCCUGAAUUCAGCUUUAUUUUUCUGAUUUUCACUCUUUUUUGCUCCUUUCGCUUCCAAAUGCUCUCCUAAGUAUAGAAACAUGAAUUCAAAGGAUUAGGAGCAUAAAAUUCACCAAUUUGCAUAAAUAAUCAUCCAUAAACGUAUUAAGAACGAGAUUAAAAUAUGUUACUUUUAUCAUUUAUCAUAGAUUUAAGAGAGAAUUUGAGAGAAAUUUGAUAGUGGUUUGAGAAUUUUGAGAGAUUUUUUAGGGAAUUUUGUGAAAAAUAAGUAAUGGUGGGGGGUUUAUAGGGUUUUUUUUCUUUUUUACCGUUGUGGGGUGGAGGGCAACGACUAUUUUAAUUAGCCGUUGGGGAGGGGGAACGCAUCUAGCUGGAAGCGUUUUUUGGGCAACAUGCGGAAAGCAUUUCCAGCUAGAAGCUUUUUUCUGCAUUUCACCUGAAAAUGCUUCUAGCUGGAAGCGUUUUCCCUGAAUCGGCUUAUUCUCAUAAUUAUUCAAAAAAUUGGUCUGGUCUGAUAAAUUUAAAUUUUUUUUUACAUUUAUCAGUUGUAACACCACUAACCCGUAUCCGUCGCCGAAUUAGGGUUACGAGGCAUUACCGAACAAAUUCAACAUUUUUAAAACCAAACUGAUCACAACGUAAAAAUUUAAUUACUUUCGCAUAGCUAUUAUAAUUUACAAUCAAAAUGUAAUUAACAUCGUACUCAAACCUAUACAUGCCAUAAGAUUGAGUUCAAAUAUUUAACAAAAUACCAAAAGAAGUCGAUAGUGUGAUGGACUAUGCUGAUGAUCCCCGAGCUCGUAACGCGUCUCCAAAAUCGAUAAAAGCAAAUGGACGAAAACAAACAAAGUAAGCUUUUAUAGCUUAGUAAGUCUAUAGCAUAUCUAAAAUACAUAUAAAAGAAUCAUAUAAUUCUUUAAUUAAAUUUAUUGAAAUCACAAUUAUCAAUAAUAAUUACUAAUCAAACAUUGCUAUAUUAAGUCAUUUUGUUUAAAUCUAAAUGGAUGUGUAUUUAUCUAAUACACAUAAACGAACAAAUGUAUAUACAUUAUAUGCAUAUAAUCAAUUUACUAACAUAAUCAUUAACUGCAUAUACUGAUUUCUAUAGUACUUAUUGUUCGCACUUCAUCGGAUCCAUUUAAAUAUAAUUAUUCAAAUACAUAUACCAAAAGCAUAAUUUUUAUACUUAUCCACUAUAAGUGCCGAAUGCACAUUUACACCUAUACCCACCUAUGCCGAAUGCAUACAUAUAUACACAUAUAUAUAUAUCCAACAAUUUCAUGACAACCGAUAUAUAUAUAUACAUACUUACUAUUCACAAAGAUUCGAACGAUUAUAUAAUCAUCAACCACCUUGAUACAAUGUUCAUAAACUUAUCCAUUUCAUAUAAACAAAAUCAUAUAUAUUUAUACUCAAUACAUAGAAUCACUUAAUUUAAACAGAUUCAACGGCACUUAGCCUGCUAGGCUUAUAGCCUGAUUCAGAUCACCGGCACGUAGCCUGCUAGGUUUAUAACCUGAUUCAGAUCACCGGCACGUAGCCUGCUAGACUUAAAGUCUGAAAAAUUCACUGGCAUAAAGCCUGCUAGGUACAGAACCUGAAUAUCACAAAUACAAGAAUACUUUCUCAUACUGGCAUUACACAUGUUUAAAAUAUAUACGUAUAAUUCAUGUAGCAUUAACCACACUUUCAAGAAAUUGNNNNNNNNNNNNNNNNNNNNNNNNNNNNNNNNNNNNNNNNNNNNNNNNNNNNNNNNNNNNNNNNNNNNNNNNNNNNNNNNNNNNNNNNNNNNNNNNNNNNAUUAAAAUUUAAAAUUAAUGUUUGGGCUGGCUCCGCUGGGCCUGUUCACUGUUUAAAAUAAUUAAAAAUAUAAAAAUUUAUAUUAAUAUUAUUUUUAUAAUUAAAUUUAAAUAUAAAAUAUUUUUUUAAACACUGAAAUGGUCCGUUUGGAUGAAAUAAACUCGGGUUUUUUACAAUAAUAUUAUAAAAAAAUAAAAAUUUACCAAAAUAUUUUAACUUUUUUUAUUUACAAAAAUAUAUAAUUUUUUUAUUUACCAAAAUAUAUCAUAAAAAAACCAAAAAAAACAAAAAAAAUCAGAUCAAUGUGACAAUUAACUGGUCACGCCAAUGGUAUUGGCGGCACCAAAGGUGCCAAAACCAUUGGCGGCACCAAUGGUGCCAAUGCCAAUGGUGGCACCAAUGGUGCCAUACUAAUUGGCGGCACCACUCGUAUUAUAAAUAUGACCUCUGUCCAGCUGAAGAGAGAAAAUUCAAAAGAAAAAAAAGAAGAAGAAGAGUUGGCGCAGAAAAGAAGAGAAAAAGAGAGAAAAAGAGGAGAAAAAGGAGGUAUUUUUUUUAAAAAUAAUUGAUUAUAUUGUUGUUAUUAUUUUGUAUAUUUUGUAAUAUUUUUUGUUUUAGUUUAGUUAUUAAGAUUAAUAAAACUCAAAAUAAUAGUAUUAGUUAGUAUUAUUAUUAUUAUUAUUAUUAUUGUUGUUGUUGUUGUUGUUGUUGUUGUUGUUGUUGUUGUUGUUGUUGUUGUUGUUGUUGUUGUUGUUGUUGUUGUUGUUAGUAUUAAGAUGUUAUUAAUGUAUUAAGAUGUAACUUAGUAAUAUUAUUGUUAGCAGAAAACUAGUAUUAUUAUUAUGGUUACUUAUUAUUUUUAUUUAUGAAAAUAAACUAGUUAGUAAAAAACUAUUAUUAUUAUUAUAGUUAGUUAGUUAGUUAUUAUUUUUAGUAAAAUUAAUAAUUUUAGUGUGUAUUAUUUUGAGUAUAAAAUUAUUAAUAUUAUUUUGAGUAUAAAAUUAAUAAUUUUAGUGUGUAUUAUUUUGUGUAUUAUUUUGAGUAUAAAAUUUUUUUUAAGUAAUUCAGUUACCGUUCGAGAUUUUUCAUGAGAUUUUGUUUUCUUAUUUGACAGAUUAAAUAUUGAAGAUGGAUGCUAAGUUUCUUGUAUGCGUUUAUUUCGAUGGAGUCAUAUUGACAACAAGUGUUGGAUGUGUAUUUGAAUGUCGGCAACAAAUAGAAAUGAGAUUUAAUAGAAAUGUAUCGUUCGAUGAAAUGAAUGCAAGGAUUAAUGCAAAAAUCCAUAGGCGUUGUGGGAGAAGGAUAUCAAAAAUUUUCUACAAGUUUCCAGUUUCGACAAAUCCGGUCAAAUUCGUCGAAAUGAAACUUGUAGACGACGAAGACGUGGAGACAAUGGUCGAUCUCUACUGUGGGAAUGGGAGUGAGAAGAAUGCACCGAUUCACUUAUUUGCUGAGUUAGUCGGUAUGGAGCAAAAUGCAUCUGAUGAAGAAGAAGGGGCUGAAGAACCGCGGAUGGUGGCUCCAAUAUCAUACGUUGAUAGUGAAUCAACUAUGGGUGGGAUCGGUAUCGACCUGAAUAUUACAGCCGGCGUUGACAUGGUUGGUGGUGAAGAAGAAGGUGCCGGCAAAGAAGAAGGUGGUGGGGAUAAUUGGGAUGAAGAGGUCGAUAGUGACGCUGAUCCCGAUGUGGACGAUGUACCUGAUGAUAUUGACGCUGAAGAUGUCAACAACGAUGAAGGCAUUAACGCUUCUUCGGUCGGGGAACAGAUGCGGCGUAUUGUGAUACACAAUAAUCCUGGGCCACACAUGUCGCUUAUAGACCCCGACGCAGCAUAUGUAUCUGAGUUUCCGGAGUACCCUGAAAUAGUUCAUUCUCACGGGCUGGCCGUAACAUCUGAUGAUGAUGAGUUAUUCAUAGGCCAGAGGUUCAGCUGUAAAGAAGAGUGCGUAUAUGCCAUUAAACGGUACAGCAUGAAGAUAUCGGUGGAUUAUAAAGUCUCCGUCUCUACUCCGACAAUAUAUGUUGGGGAGUGUUGGAAGGCAGCAGAAGGUUACAAUUGGCGGGUACGAGCUGCAUUCAUUAGAAGUUCUCAGAUGUGGGAGAUACGAAAAUUUGUUGGUCCUCAUAUAUGCAUAUCAACACGUAUGACAGAAAAUCAUGGAAAACUUGAUUCGAAAACUAUUUGUACGUGUAUCGAGGUCAAUGAACGUGGAAAUAUAUUCACUACGACUGGAAACGUUUCGAGUUACCGAGAACAUCAGUCGUCGAACCAGGUCCUACGGAGUUGAUCUCCGGAACAGACGGUGCGAGUGCAGGAAGUUCGAAACACUUCAUUAUCCCUGUGCGCAUGUCGUGGCAGCGUGUGCUAAAGUCAACCUUGAUGCUGAACAAUAUGUCGAUGAUGUGUACAUGCUAGAGCGCACAUUGCGUGUCUGGGAGAAUGAGUUCCCCGUCCUGCCGGACCUAUCUACGUGGAGGUGCCGCUGAUCACUUUUGAGCUUCUCCCAGACGCAGGGCUACGGAGGAAUCCAAGGGGUCGUUCGCAGUCAAGCAGAAUCCGUAAUGAGAUGGACAAUAGGGAGAAAUCUGACGAAAAGCGUUGUGGAAUAUGUAGGUUAAGUGGUCAUAGCCGGAAUAAAUGCCCUAACCGAAACUUUCAUGUCGGGCAGUCAUCGGGAUCGGGGCGAAAUUAAGCUACUGACCCAAAAUUUUUAUGUAUAUUGUUAUAAAAGGUAAUUUUAAGAUUAUAUCGAUUUUUUAUUCGGCUUAUGCUUACGCUUAAAUUGUAUCCAAAUUGUAACAUUACCAUUUAAAUGUUAAAAAAAAACCAUGUGAGCGUUGUGGAAUUAUUAAGAUUAUAUCGAAAAUAGAGGUAUUCAUAAUUUGAUUGAGCUUUAAUAUAAUGAAAAAAGUCGUGGCAAUGGAUAUUUAUACAUAAAAUUCAGAAGUAAGCAAUAACUAAAAUACAAAUAUGGCAUUUAUGGAAAAAGUGCAUUAAACCCCUAAAUUUGAUGGUUCGAUGGUGUUGUCCGGGGGGUAUACCUACGCGGAGGUCGACGCUCACGGCCUGGGCGACGACUAACAUCCUCAUCGUCCGCAGGUGGGGACNNNNNNNNNNNNNNNNNNNNNNNNNNNNNNNNNNNNNNNNNNNNNNNNNNNNNNNNNNNNNNNNNNNNNNNNNNNNNNNNNNNNNNNNNNNNNNNNNNNNACUUAUUCCAUAAUAUAUAAUUCAUACCUUAAAUUCAAUUCCAAAAAUUUAUACAAUUAUAUACAUAUAUAUAUUGAGACUUCAUAUACAUAUUUUCAUAACUUCCAUACUUCAAUCGAAUUCAAAAACCCUAUAUAUUUAUAUACACAUAUAUUCGAACAAUAUAUAAAUAUCUUUAAUUCAUAACAUUAGAUUCAUUUCACAGUAAUUGAAACAUACCUUCGAACCACUUAUAUAUAUAUAUAUUCGUACCAUAUAUAUGUAUUAUACAUACCUCUGCUUAAAAUCAAGAAUUUAUACCUAUGCAACAUUCAUACUUUAACUAAUUUCAAUAACUUAUAUAUAUAUGUAUAUAUAUCCUAGCAUUAUAUAUACAUAUACAUAUACAUGCUUAUUCAAAUAUCAACUAUACUCUUAUACAUUUCUUACCUUUAUUUCAACCCAUAAAUCUAUACAAGAUUAUACUUGUAUAUUCGAACAUGCUAUAUAUAUAAAUAUCAUCCAUACUUCAAAAUUUAUUCAAUCAAUAUACUUUUAAAUAUAGCUCAACACAAAAUACAAUUAGUAUACAUGUGUAAAUAUUAACUUAAUAACUUUUAAUUGCUAAUAGACUUACCUCGGAUAUCAGCGGACACGAUCGACUAUUCGAUUACUUUCAUUUUUCCCCGAUCCAAAUUCAUUUUCUUCGUUUCUUGAUCU
rnacentral:lncRNA from 1 species